ACUGUAAAAAAUUACUGAUGCAAAAAGUUGUACAAAUGAGGAAAUACAUGUUGGCUCAACAUAAUGGUUGUGUCAAAUAAGAAAAAUAUGUUUGGUCAAUGAUUGCAUGAUUUCCAUGAUUGUACUACAAAAUGUUCAUCAAGAGAAAAUAAAUAAUUAUGUUGAGAUAACUUUUAACGUUGCACAAAAAAUAUUAUGUUGGCCGAGCAAGAGAGAACAGCGUCAAUCGUCUGAGCAUGCGCAAAGGAGUUCUACCAGGCAGCGCUGCAGCAGGCUGGAGUCACGACAUUGCAUUGUCAGCCAUUCCUGACAUCGCUGGACAAUCACACCCAGGGGUUGCUAAAGAUGUACAGAGCCAAAAGCAAGACUGGGAAGGUGGAACAACUUGGAUGAAAUUCUGGAACAACUGGAUGCCCAGACCACAGAUCUAACUACUCAUUGAAGGUCUGCUGUUCUUAGUGGUCUUCCCCUGUACUUGAGAGAGCCAGCUUCAAUUUCAAAGACUAUUAAGGAUACUGAGGCACUGGGGCCACACACAAAGGCCAUGCAAAUGGGGAUCCUGAAAGUGACUGACAGUUCUACCAACUCAGGACCAUAUCCCACAGUGGUCAAUGUGGCUGUAGUACUGGAGGAGGAAGUUAUCAUGGACAAUCUGGGAGACUUCACAAAUUCCCUCAUGAUGGUUGUUUCGGCACUGGUUGAAUACUUGUGUAAUAUUUUACUUGAGCCUAACAGGCAAAUUCAUAUGUAUUUAAAUAAAUAAAUAAAAUGU